UACGUAGGUGGCAAGCGUUGUUCGGAUUUACUGGGCGUAAAGGGCGCGUAGGCGGCAUGACAAGUCACUUGUGAAAUCUCUGGGCUUAACCCAGAACGGCCAAGUGAUACUGUCGCGCUAGAGUGCGGAAGGGGCAAUCGGAAUUCUCGGUGUAGCGGUGAAAUGCGUAGAUAUCGAGAGGAACACCUGAGGUGAAGACGGGUUGCUGGGCCGACACUGACGCUGAGUGCGCGAAAGCCAGGGGAGCAAACGGG
rnacentral:rRNA from 1 species